rnacentral:misc_RNA from 1 species
GUAGGUGAACCUGCGGAAGGAUCAUUAUCACGUAUCCACGUUAUAAACCAAUGUUGAACUAGUCUUUAAAACCUUUGGAGAUUUUAUUAAUGGAGUAUGUAUUUGGAUAUUUAAACGUUUUUUUGAAGUGAUUAAACGUCGUUCAAAUAUAUCAACAAUUUCGAUUGUACAUUUAAUUUCUCUGAAGUUGUAUUAAUCACUUUAUUAUUAACCAUUAUAACAAUAUCAUUAUAACUUUUGAACUAAAUUAAUUUAUACUCUUGUUCACACAAGAGAUAAAUACAAAUUACGAAACUAAAAGAACAACUCUUAGCAACGGAUAUCUUGGUUCUC